rnacentral:rRNA from 1 species
UACGGGGGGGGCAAGCGUUGUUCGGAAUUACUGGGCGUAAAGCGCGCGUAGGCGGCUUUGUAAGUUAGAGGUGAAAGCCCGGAGCUCAACUCCGGAACUGCCUUUAAGACUGCAUCGCUAGAAUUGUGGAGAGGUGAGUGGAAUUCCGAGUGUAGAGGUGAAAUUCGUAGAUAUUCGGAAGAACACCAGUGGCGAAGGCGACUCACUGGACACAUAUUGACGCUGAGGUGCGAAAGCGUGGGGAGCAAACAGG